UCCGGUUGAUCCUGCCAGCGGCCACCGCUAUUGGAAUUCGAUUAAGACAUGCGAGUCGAGAGUCGUAAUGGACUCGGCGGACUGCUCAGUAACACGUGGAUAACAUGCCCUAGAGUGGAGGAUAAUCUCGGGAAAUUGAGGAUAAUACUCCAUAGAUCAUGAAUUCUGGAACGACUCAUGGUCGAAAGUUCCGGCGCUCUAGGAUUGGUCUGCGGCCUAUCAGGUAGUAGUGGGUGUAACGGACCCACUAGCCGACGACGGGUAUGGGCCUUGAGAGAGGGAGCCCAGAGAUGGAAUCUGAGACACGAUUCCAGGCCCUACGGGGCGCAGCAGUCGCGAAAACUUCACAAUGGAGGCAACUCCGAUGAGGGAAUUCCAAGUGCUAGCACAUUAGUGUUAGCUUUUCUUAAGCAUAGAUAACUUAAGGAAUAAGGGCUGGGUAAGACGGGUGCCAGCCGCCGCGGUAAUACCCGCAGCCCAAGUGGUGGUCGAUUUUAUUGAGUCUAAAACGUUCGUAGCCGGUUCAUUAAAUCCUUGGGUAAAUCGGAUGGCUUAACUAUCCGAAUUCCGGGGAGACUGGUGAACUUGGGACCGGGAGAGGCAAG
rnacentral:rRNA from 1 species